rnacentral:rRNA from 1 species
UACGGGGGGAGCAAGCGUUGUUCGGAUUUACUGGGCGUAAAGGGCGCGUAGGCGGCCAGCACAAGUCGGUUGUGAAAUCUCCGGGCUUAACUCGGAAAGGUCAACCGAUACUGUGCGGCUAGAGUGCGGAAGGGGCAACUGGAAUUCUCGGUGUAGCGGUGAAAUGCGUAGAUAUCAAGAGGAACACCUGAGGUGAAGACGGGUUGCUGGGCUGACACUGACGCUGACAGCGCGAAAGCUAGGGGAGCAAACGGG